GACGAACGCUGGCGGCGUGCUUAACACAUGCAAGUCGAACGGAAAGGCCCUGCUUUUGUGGGGUGCUCGAGUGGCGAACGGGUGAGUAACACGUGAGUAACCUGCCCUUGACUUUGGGAUAACUUCAGGAAACUGGGGCUAAUACCGGAUAGGAGCUCCUGCUGCAUGGUGGGGGUUGGAAAGUUUCGGCGGUUGGGGAUGGACUCGCGGCUUAUCAGCUUGUUGGUGGGGUAGUGGCUUACCAAGGCUUUGACGGGUAGCCGGCCUGAGAGGGUGACCGGCCACAUUGGGACUGAGAUACGGCCCAGACUCCUACGGGAGGCAGCAGUGGGGAAUAUGGCAGAAUGGGCGGAAGCCUGAGACAGCAACGCCGCGUGCGGGAUGACGGCCUUCGGGUUGUAAACCGCUGUCGCCGGUGACGAAGCGUGAGUGACGGUAAUGGGUAAAGAAGCACCGGCUAACUACGUG
rnacentral:rRNA from 1 species